rnacentral:rRNA from 1 species
GGCGAACGCUGGCGGCGUGCCUAACACAUGCAAGUAGAACGCUCAAGGAGGAGCUUGCUUCUCCGGAUGAGUUGCGAACGGGUGAGUAACGCGUAGGUAACCUGCCUGGUAGCGGGGGAUAACUAUUGGAAACGAUAGCUAAUACCGCAUAAGAGUAGAUGUUGCAUGACAUUUGCUUAAAAGGUGCAAUUGCAUCACUACCAGAUGGACCUGCGUUGUAUUAGCUAGUUGGUGGGGUAACGGCUCACCAAGGCGACGAUACAUAGCCGACCUGAGAGGGUGAUCGUCCACACUGAGACUGAGACACGGCCCACACUCCUACGGGAGGCAGCAGUAGGGAAUCUUCGGCAAUGUACGGUAGUCUUACCGAGCAACGCCCCGUGAGUGAAGAAGGUUUCGGAUCGUAAAGCUCUGUUUAUGAAAGAACGAGUGUGAGAGUGGAAGUCACACUGUGACGGUUCUUACGUGAUAGGACGUCUAACUUCGUGCCAGCGGCCCUGUAUACGAGGUCCCGGCUGUGGUCCGGAUUAUGUGGUGUAAGCGGUGCGGUGUGUGGAUGAGUCGGUGAUUGGAUGCUGGCGUGAACUAUGCUCUCUUUGGUAACUGUGUUAUUUUGUGUGGGAUGGAGGUGUGUGUUCUGGUUUGCUGUGAUGUGUGAUUUGUGAUAAGUCUGCUGUGAAUGUUUGUUUCUGUAUGUGCUGGUGCGUCGUGUGUGGUGACUGAGUGUGUGUGUGUGUGUGCGUGUGUGUGUGCUGUAGUUAUGUUGUGUGUGUGUGCCCCCUGUGUGAAAAAUGAUGAUGAUGAUUGUAACAGCUGUUGUGUGUGUUUGUGGUUGG